AUGUUGUCUGCACUCCUAUCCAGGUAUAGGCGUCUGAGGCAAUCUUUCUUCUCUUUAAUCGCCUUCUGGACAUCAUCAUUCCACCACCAGGUAUUCUUAUCUCCGCUUCUCCUUCCCUUGGACACUUCAAACUCCUCCGAGGCCACCUUACGGAUGCAAGUCGCCAUCUUCAUCCACACAUUGUCCGCAUCCCCUCCUUCCUCCCAAGGGCCCUACUUAAUGACCCUCUCCUUGAGCGCCCGAGCUACCACCCCCUUGAGCUUCCACCACUUUGUUCUAGCGACUUUGGCAUGCUUAUCCCGCUGGACAUGA
rnacentral:rRNA from 1 species